CAUGAGCAACCUCGUGUCCAGCGAUGGCGACGGCAAAGUCUACAUCUGUUUAACUGCUUCUGCGAGCAGCUGACACUGGCAGCAUACGUCGUACGCAGAUUCUCGAGUUCCUACUCCAGCUGGCAGAGGCAGGCAACUUUCACAGCUAUCUGACGCUGGACGUGGUGUACAAGAUCGAGUUGGAGGUGCACAAGAAACCCAUCGCCUCGUCGGUGUUCCGGUCAACCUGGCUUAGGGGGCUCAGGGAGCUGAGAUACCGGUUCUGGGUUUCGGUUGACAGCGUUUGAAGAGCUGAACGACGACAGUUUCACGCUGGAGGAACAUCUUUAGACAAGGGGAGCAACAAAUAUUACCUGCAGAUAUUACGAAGGAUUAGUUGACGGCGAAGCAGUUCUGUGAAAGCCGUCGAGUAGCGGAACGACAACGGGUUGCUGCAACGGCAUAGCUGGAGGUGAAAACACACACAAUGUGUUGACAUCUGAUUGGCACUUAAUUCAGGACGUUAAUAAGUGCAUCGACAAAGAGAUUCGGGUGUUUUAUUAAAAAAUAUUUAUUUAGCUUGCUUUUUGUUUUAUUUAUUUUUAAAUUUAAUCGUUACUCGCAUUCCGGAAUUGAACGGAAAAUUGAUGUAGUAGUUGAAAGAUUUAUA